UUUCCGUAGGUGAACUGCGGAAGAUCAUUAAUAAAUUUUUUUAGGUUGAAUUUUGAACUAAAAAUAUAAUAAUCCUACCCUUGUGAAUUUGUUGUUUGAAAUAAUUUUUAAAAAAUUAUUUAUAGUUUUGUCUAUCCUGAGUUGUAGAGAAGUAAUUCUUGAAGACUUAGGAAUAGGCUUUAUCUAUAAUAAUGAUUUUAAAGACCUUUUUUUAAAUUAAACUUUUGUAUUCAUUUUCUAAAUUUAUUUUUAAUAAUUUAAAAACAACUUUUGACAAUGGAUCUCUUGGUUCUCGCAACGAUGAAGAACGCAGCAAAAUGCGAUAAGUAGUGUGAAUGCAGAAUACGUGAAUCAUCAAAUCUUCGAACGCAUAUUGCACUUUUUUAGUUACUAAAAAAGUAUGUCUUUGAGUAUCAGUAAAUAUCUCAUAAAAAAUUAUUUUUUUUAUGGUUUUGAGUGUUUUACACGAUACAAGUUGUUUCACUUUAAAUUGCUUAAAUUGCUAUUAAUUUAGUCAAUUUUAAAAUUGCAUAAAAUUUUCCGUAAAAGGAAUAACCAUCAAUUUUAAAUAAUUAUUAAAAGCCUUGAUAAAAGGAAAUUAAUUAAAUAACUUAUUCAGAUCAGAUAGAUACCGCUGAACUUAAGCAUAUCAAUAAGCGGAGGAAAAGAACUAACAAGGAUUCCCCUAGUAACGGCGAGUGAGCGGAAGAGCUCAAAUUUGAAAUCUUCAAGUUUACCUUGACGAAUUGUAGUUUAAAGAAGUGUUUUCGGUUAGAGAGUGGUAAAAGUUCUUGGAAUAGGACAUUAUAGGGUGAGAAUCCCGUAUUUGACCAUUCUUUCUAGCUUUGUGAUACACUUUCAAAGAGUCGGAUUGUUGGGAAUGCAGUCAAAAUGGUGGUAAAUUUCAUCUAAAGCUAAUAUUGGCGAGAGACCGAAGCGAACAAGUACGUGAGGGAAAGAUGAAAGAACUUUGAAAGGAGAGUUAAACAGUACGUGAAAUUGUCAAAAGGGAAGCGUUUGACACCAGUGUUGUUUUCCGAAAUCAAUUAAAAUAAAUUCAUGCCGGUUGUAUUGACCUUAUCAGCUUGCAAUUUGGUUUUGGGUUUCUUUUGAUGCACUAUUCGUUAACAAGUCAACAUCAAUUUCCUUGCUGUAAAAGGGCAGGAGGAAGGUGGCUUCAAUUUCGGUUGAAGUGUUUAUAGCCUUCUGUCUCUGCAGUCGGGGAGAUUGAGGUCUGCAGCGUAGAUCUUCGGUUAGAUACAUUCGUGCUAAGUUAUAGCCUUUUAUAGACAUUUGUUGACUAUGAUGGUCAUGUAAUUUACUCGCGUGUGCUAUUU
rnacentral:misc_RNA from 1 species